rnacentral:lncRNA from 10 species
GCAAAACCCAGGACAAGAAGACUCGUCAAUCACCAGGUCCUGGUAUUCAUGCUUUUGUGUAGUUUCCUCCCACACUGAAUUAAGCUGACCUGUGUAACUCACAAGACAUUGCAGGAAUGACGGUGUGUGUGCUCAGGCUGAACAUAAAAGACUCUGAGACUUCUGCCUUGCCCUCUUGUAGCACUCUCCAGGAAAAGCUGCCUGCUAGAUAACAUGAAGACACGCCAGCAGCCUCAUGGGGGUGGAGGGAAGAGAGGCCUCAUGGUGAGGGACUGAGGCCUCCUACUAAAAGCCAGCACUAACUUGUCAGGCAUGAAAGUGAGCCACCUGGAAGCACAUCUUCAGCCCCUGUGGACCCUUUAGAUGACUGCAGGCCCUGCUGACAUCUUGACUGAAACCUCAUGAGACAGCUAGAACCAGAAUCGCCCAGAGAGAAGAACAUCAAAGGUGCGGGUUUAGGGCCCAGAAAGCCACUGGCCCCUUAAUAUCCAGAAAAGGACAAAAACUCACGGGAGUCAAGCACUGUUUGCCUGGAAGAAGAAAGAUAAAGACACAGACAAGCCCUGCUCCCCCACCAGCCAAAACUACUAUUCUACCUGUUUCCUGAUUCUGAC